UCUUCUCGGCCGAAACUACAGGCAGGAAGGGGGAGAGGGGGCAAUCUUGCCCAGUCCACAGGCAAUGGCCCCUUCUUUAAUAUCUUCACAAAAUGAGGUAUGGCAAAGAGGUAGUGGCAGCCACUUUAGGAAAAGAUUGCCAGGUUGCAGCCUGAAGAGUCUCCUUUUACAAUGAAAAGGCCUCCUUGUUCCCUGGGCCUAGUGACUUUUAGCUACAGAUGUGCAAAUCAGCAAAACAUGAACUCACUGAAGUUCUCCAAAACCCAUCUGGAAGCUCAUUCUGACUUGAUAUUCUAACACCAGUGAGGGAGGAAGCAGCAGCCAGGCACCUCUCCACCGUGCCUGGGUCCAGCUCCAGCUGAGAGCCCCCUCCCUCCUGCUACCAACUAUCUCUGGAGAGGCCACCAGUGAGGGAGGAAGCAGCAGCCAGGCACCUCUCCAUCGUGCCUGGGUCCAGCUCCAGCUCAGAGCCCCCUCCCUCCUGCUACCAACUAUCUCUGCAGAGGCCACCAAUGAGGGAGUCCAGCUCCAGCUGAGAGCCCCCUCCCUCCAGCUACCAACUGUCUCUGCAGAGGCCACCAGUGAGGGAGGAAGCAGCAGCCAGGCACCUCUCCAUCAUGCCUGGGUCCAGCUCCAGCUGAGAGCCCCCUCCCUCCUGCUGCCAACUGUCUCUGCAGAGACCACCAGUGAGGGAGGAAGCAGCAGCCAGGCACCUCUCCAUCGUGCCUGGGUCCAGCUCCAGCUGAGAGCCCCGUCCCUGCUGCUGCCAACUGUCUCUGCAGAGACCACCAGUGAGAGAGGAAGCAGCAGCCAGGCACCUCUCCACCGUGCCUGGGUCCAGCUCCAGCUGAGAGACCCCUCCCUCCUGCUGUCAACUGUAACUGCUGAACUUUACAACUAAGAUUGUAGUGCCUGAAUUUGCUUUCCUUUUCCCCUUCCUCCUCCUCCCUCCCAAUCCCCUUUCCUUUUGUGUCAUGUCUUUUAGAUUGUAAACCUGUGGGCAGGGACUGUCAAGAAAUACUUUUGUA